UUCGCAUGUGACUGGAACGGAU
rnacentral:misc_RNA from 1 species